AGGGUGCAAGCGUUAAUCGGAAUUACUGGGCGUAAAGCGUGCGUAGGCGGUUUGUUAAGUCUGUCGUGAAAGCCCCGGGCUCAACCUGGGAAUGGCGAUGGAUACUGGCAAGCUAGAGUGUGUCAGAGGAUGGCGGAAUUCCCGGUGUAGCGGUGAAAUGCGUAGAGAUCGGGAGGAACAUCAGUGGCGAAGGCGGCCAUCUGGGACAACACUGACGCUGAGGCACGAAAGCGUGGGGAGCAAACAGGAUUAGAUACCCUGGUAGUCCACGCCCUAAACGAUGCGAACUGGAUGUACGUCUCAACUCGGAGAUGUGUGUCGAAGCUAACGCGUUAAGUUCGCCGCCUGGGGAGUACGGUCGCAAGACUGAAACUCAAAGGAAUUGACGGGGGCCCGCACAAGCGGUGGAGUAUGUGGUUUAAUUCGAUGCAACGCGAAGAACCUUACCUGGCCUUGACAUGUCCGGAAUUCUACAGAGAUGCGGAAGUGCCUUCGGGAA
rnacentral:rRNA from 1 species